rnacentral:lncRNA from 1 species
UACACUCUGAAAGGUAGACACGAAGAUCUUUAAUCGUUCACCGAUAACCUUAACACGCACACAUAGCGAAGCUUCUCCACAGGCUUGACUGGUGAACGCCCGCUUAGAACUCUUUGAAGUCAUCGAAGAACUCCGCGUCGUCACAAGCUUUUGAACAACAUUUGGGCAAGGGUGAGUACACUUAUGGUUGGUACUCAGCAAGUGGGAGAACAUGCAAGGCUUAACAAGGAGAGGCUCAAGCUUUAAGCGGUUAGCAUUUUAGUUGGUCAAAUUUUAAUUAGCAGCACCUAAAUACUAGGUGUAAGUUUAUACCAACCCACUUAAGCAUAAAGUAUUAGCAUUAUCCAAAAACCAAGGAACCAUGAUUUAUUUUCAUCUUUAAGUUCAAUUAUCAUGUGAGGGUUCAAGCCGCUCAUAACCGUGAGCACGGUUUAUAUAUCAGUUUACACUCUGUAGAGGUUGUACACUUUACCCACAACUCGUGUUCCUCGUGUCGCCCGGGUUUGCAAAGCCCUUAAACACUUCCUUUGGUGAGUGGCUGGGGGUCCACUACGAAGCCUUUACCAAGACACAUAGUUAACUAGUAGCACGCUAGAGUUUCAGUUGUAGCGAUGAGGGUCACAACCUGUUAAUGAGACAACACCUUAGCAAAUGCUACUACUCCGGAUCAUGCACCCAACACCUUCCCCCUCCUUGCCCUUUCGGUAAGGCCACCAGUUAACCACAUGCCUAAUUAAUUGGCUAAGAUUAGAGCCAUGUGAUGUUGUGGUUGUACUGUUUUCUUGGGUGGUUCUCCAUGUUCCAAUUAAAACAAGUAUUCUUGCAAUUAACCAGGUGUAGUAACAAAAAUAAAGUCAUGUUUAAGAUUCUCAAAAUUAUGACAUUUCCAUCCUAGAAGUAAGCAAUUAAGCAAUUCUACCCAACAAGAUUAAACCGGUGUUCAAGGAUCAGGAUUAAAAACUAGGUAAGUCCUUAAUAGGUAUUCCUAUCAAUUUAUGCACAUACAGGAAAUUAAUAAAGUGAUUAAUCACGAUAUUAUUGGGACGAAAAAGAAUAUGAAAGGGGAGAUAACCACUUGCCUUCCUAGGCAAACUGCGAGUACUCUUCUUCGAACGGCGGCUGCUCCUAAACUUGUCCUUCCGCGAAUGGCACGUCGUCUACACGAUCACACAAGAAAAACAAACAAUGAAUAAAACAGUACACCAAACAUGACCAAAAGCUUAAAACAAACUCCUAAAAAUAAUGUUCAUGUAGAGAUGGUCACGUGAGUGCGAGAAUCGCUGAAAUCGGAUUUAAAACGAUGAAGAUAUGGAGUAAACAAGUUUUAGGGACUAAAACAGAAUUAACUACAUAUAUACUUCAGGGGCUUGCAAAGAAGUUUCACAAGACUCUGCGAGCAGUGCUUGCAAAAAUAGAGAAACACAGGGUUAGAUAUGUAAAAGUUGCAAGCUCAGGUUAGAAUGAAAUAAUCUAAAGUUUCCAGGGGGUUUUCCACAAGAUUCGCAAGGCACAAGAAUAAAAGAAAGAUACAAGAGAGACAAGGGGGCAUAUAGCAAAACGUCCUUAUCCUAUUCUUCUUCCUCGUGCAUGCCCGCACAGGGAGGGACGGCGCACCACUGGUGGCGCUAGAACCGGGGCUUCACCGGCGCUUGGUGCGGCGGGGAGGGGGACCGGCGCGGGGGAGGGAGAAGAGAAAGGCGCAGAAGAGGAGCCUCACCGGCGGUGGCGAAGGGAAGGAAGUGGCCCGGUGGCGAACAGGAACCAGCGGCGGCGAAGCUUUGGGUGGCGGCGAUGCUCUAGUGCGAGAGGGUGGCGGGUGGGCAGCGAAACGGAAUGGGGAGCUCGGGUGGAGGCGAUUGGGGGUUUUAUAGGGCGCGAGGAGGAGUGUAGAGGGCGCCGGGGAGGGCCAACGAUCCGGCCGGCCAUUGAAGCUAGGCAUCGAAGGUGUAACGGGCGUCCGUUACUGGGAGGAUUUAAGGGGAAAGGGUGCUGCGGCGCGUGCGCGUGAAUAAUGGGGGCGGCACAUGCUUGAAGAGCUGCAGGGGGUGGGAAGGUGAAGGGGGCACCAUUCACGG